GAUGAACGCUAGCGGGAGGCUUAACACAUGCAAGUCGAGGGGCAGCACGAGGUAGCAAUACUUUGGUGGCGACCGGCGCACGGGUGAGUAACGCGUAUGCAACCUACCCUGUACAGGGGAAUAACUCUCGGAAACGGGAACUAAUACCGCAUAAUACUAUUAGACCGCAUGGUUUAAUAGUUAAAGAUUUAUUGGUAAUGGAUGGGCAUGCGUGACAUUAGUUAGUUGGUAGGGUAACGGCCUACCAAGACUACGAUGUCUAGGGGUUCUGAGGAGAAGGUCCACCGCACUGGUACUGCGGCACGGACCAGACUCCUACGGGAGGUAGCAGUGAGGAAUAUUGGGCAAUGGGGGAGAGCCUGAACCAGCCAAGUCGCGUACAGGAGGACUGCCUUAUGGGUUGUAAACUGCUUUUAUAAAGGAAUAACAACAGAAACGAGUUUCUGGAUGAAUGUACUUUAGGAAUAAGGAUCGGCUAACUCCGUGCCAGCAGCCGCAGUAACAC
rnacentral:rRNA from 1 species